UACGUAGGGUGCGAGCGUUGUUCGGAAUUACUGGGCGUAAAGGGCGCGUAGGCGGCCUGCUAAGUCAUACGUGAAAUCCCAUGGCUCAACCAUGGAACUGCGUGUGAUACUGGCGGGCUUGAAUUCGGGAGAGGGAUGCGGAAUUCCAGGUGUAGCGGUGAAAUGCGUAGAUAUCUGGAGGAACACCGGUGGCGAAGGCGGCGUCCUGGACCAACACUGACACUGAUGAGCGAAAGCCAGGGGAGCAAACGGG
rnacentral:rRNA from 1 species